AGGUCAUAGUGAUCCGGUGGUUCUGAAUGGAAGGGCCAUCGCUCAACGGAUAAAAGGUACUCCGGGGAUAACAGGCUGAUACCGCCCAAGAGUUCAUAUCGACGGCGGUGUUUGGCACCUCGAUGUCGGCUCAUCACAUCCUGGGGCUGAAGUAGGUCCCAAGGGUAUGGCUGUUCGCCAUUUAAAGUGGUACGCGAGCUGGGUUUAGAACGUCGUGAGACAGUUCGGUCCCUAUCUGCCGUGGGCGCUGGAGAACUGAGGGGGGCUGCUCCUAGUACGAGAGGACCGGAGUGGACGCAUCACUGGUGUUCGGGUUGUCAUGCCAAUGGCACUGCCCGGUAGCUAAAUGCGGAAGAGAUAAGUGCUGAAAGCAUCUAAGCACGAAACUUGCCCCGAGAUGAGUUCU
rnacentral:rRNA from 1 species